UCCACUUGGAGGACUGCCGUGGUUGGGCACUGCACCGCCUCCUUGGGAAGUCUAGUCCACAUUUGGGUCACCCUUACCAUAGAGAAGUCCUUCCUUACAUCCAAUCUGAAACCAUCCUCUAAUAGUUGAUGGCCAUUGCUCCUUGUC